UUGCAGGUGUUGGACAAUUAUGACAAAAGGACAGAACAUGAAAAUGGCUGAGUCAACUAAAGGUGAUUAUGUUGAUGGCUGACCCUCAAAUGUGAUGGGAUGAGGACAUCUCCUGUUGAGGUAACGAUCUGAUCAUGCUCUUCAGCCUUGAAUCCCUGGGCUGUAUAGGCAUACACCUCCUGGACUGCAAAGGUCCAGUGUGACAUGUUGGCGAGCUGCCCAAUAAGGUGGAUUUUUCAGGACUGGGUCUGUCUGGAUUCACAGCGCCAAGGAUGUGGCAACAUUGUUCACUGGAAGACUGACUUAACUCUAAGUGUGUGUGUGUUUUUUUUGUUUUUUUUAUCUGUAAACUUCUGUAGUAUAUCAAAGCAAUAAAAUCUGCAAGUGAUGAAACUAAUGUAAACCAUUGGCUGUUUGAUCCAAUAAAAACAAAAGCAAACUUA